rnacentral:ncRNA from 1 species
CAUCAAGAGAGGCAGAGGGACUGGCCCUGUGAAGCCUCGGCAACCUGCGCAACCGGUGAUGAAUGAACCGUACCGCAAGGUGCCAAUUCCUGCAGACCAUGAGGUCUGAGCGAU